rnacentral:rRNA from 1 species
GAUGAACGCUGGCGGCGUGCCUAAUACAUGCAAGUCGAGCGAACGGACGAGAAGCUUGCUUCUCUGAUGUUAGCGGCGGACGGGUGAGUAACACGUGGAUAACCUACCUAUAAGACUGGGAUAACUUCGGGAAACCGUAGCUAAUACCGGAUAAUAUUUUGAACCGCAUGGUUCAAAAGUGAAAGACGGUCUUGCUGUCACUUAUAGAUGGAUCCGCGCUGCAUUAGCUAGUUGGUAAGGUAACGGCUUACCAAGGCAACGAUGCAUAGCCGACCUGAGAGGGUGAACGGCCACACGGGAACUGAGACACGGUCCAGACUCCUGCGGUAGGCAGCAGUAGAGAAUCUUCCGCAAUGGGCGAAAGCCUGACGGAGCAACGCCGCGUGAGUGAUGAAGGUCUUCGGAUCGGAAAACUCUGUUAUUAGGGAAGAACAUAUGUGUUAGUACCUGUGCACAUCUUGACUGUACCUAAUCAGAAAGCCACGGCUAACUACGUG